CAGGCGCAGGAGAAUCAAACUUGGUAUAAUGUAGUAGUUUAAUAACGUAAAACAAACUCCAAAACCAAAGUAUAUAAUAAAAUAAACGUGGGUACAAGAACCCGUCGCACACCAAUCCAUAAAUCACGAGCAUAACAAUAAACAAUAUCUGACAAGGACAUGAGGGAAAACAGAGGGUUAAAUACACAACAAUUAAUGAAUGGGAUGUGAACCCGGUGUGUAGGAAGACAAGACAAAACCAAUGUCAAAUGAAACAUGGAUCAAUGUGACGUCGACCACCGCCCGAACAAGGAGAGGCAUUAACUUCGGCAGAAGUCAUGACAGAAACAUCGAGAUGAUUGCCCAUUAUUUUGUUUUUCAAAGGACCCAGAAAAUGGAGGCAGUGGGAGAACCUAUUCAAAUACAGAGAGCUGCGAAUUUCUGUCUGCAGAUGAAGAGGUCCCAAUGAAUGUCACGAGAGAAUAAGAGUACAUCCGUGUAUACCAUUGGUUAUAUGUGUACCUAUGUUAGCAAAUGUUGUAAACAAAAAUACAGUACCACUGGAAAAAUUCUGGACAAUGUCCUCCUUUAGGCUAGAUGGACAUAUCCCCUUUUUGUAGGCCUAGAAUAGAUGGUUGCAUUCAAGACAGUGUCGUUUUUUUUAUUGAUCUGUUUGUCAGUGUUAGCAGAGUAGGCCUAGGCUAUCCCUUGAUCUGUCUUAUUAAAAAAAUAUUCUGCUAA